UACGGAGGGGGCAAGCGUUGUUCGGAAUUACUGGGCGUAAAGGGCGCGUAGGCGGCCUUUUAAGUCGAGCGUGAAAUCCCCGGGCUCAACCCGGGAACUGCGUCCGAUACUGGCAGGCUUGAAUCCGGGAGAGGGAUGUGGAAUUCCAGGUGUAGCGGUGAAAUGCGUAGAUAUCUGGAGGAACACCGGUGGCGAAGGCGGCACCCUGGACCGGUAUUGACGCUGAGGCGCGAAAGCCAGGGGAGCAAACGGG
rnacentral:rRNA from 1 species